rnacentral:rRNA from 1 species
GAUGAACGCUGGCGGCGUGCCUAAUACAUGCAAGUCGAGCGAACAGAUGAGGAGCUUGCUCCUCUGACGUUAGCGGCGGACGGGUGAGUAACACGUGGAUAACCUACCUAUAAGACUGGGAUAACUUCGGGAAACCGGAGCUAAUACCGGAUAAUAUAUUGAACCGCAUGGUUCAAUAGUGAAAGACGGUUUUGCUGUCACUUAUAGAUGGAUCCGCGCCGCAUUAGCUAGUUGGUAAGGUAACGGCUUACCAAGGCAACGAUGCGUAGCCGACCUGAGAGGGUGAUCGGCCACACUGGAACUGAGACACGGUCCAGACUCCUACGGGAGGCAGCAGUAGGGAAUCUGCCGCAAUGGGCGAAAGCCUGACGGAGCAACGCCGCGUGAGUGAUGAAGGGCUUCGGAUCGUAAAACUCUGUUAUUAGGGAAGAACAAAUGUGUAAGUAACUAUGCACGUCUUGACGGUACCGAAUCAGAAAGCCACGGCUAACUACGU